rnacentral:rRNA from 1 species
AUGGAAGGGCCAUCGCUCAACGGAUAAAAGGUACGCCGGGGAUAACAGGCUGAUGAUGCCCAAGAGUCCAUAUCGACGGCAUUGUUUGGCACCUCGAUGUCGGCUCAUCGCAUCCUGGGGCUGGAGCAGGUCCCAAGGGUUUGGCUGUUCGCCAAUUAAAGCGGUACGUGAGCUGGGUUUAGAACGUCGUGAGACAGUUCGGUCCCUAUCUACCGUGGGUGUAGGAGAAUUGAGAGGAUCUGCCCCUAGUACGAGAGGACCGGGGUGGACGUAUCUCUGGUGGACCUGUUGUUGCGCCAGCAGCAUAGCAGGGUAGCUAUAUACGGAAGGGAUAACCGCU